rnacentral:lncRNA from 1 species
AAGUGACUUGACAAUAAGGCGGUCCCGCUCCCCAGCUCUCUCCUCCGCGUCAGUCCGAGCGGGCGCUGCCGCGGAGAGGGGCGCGUCUCCCCAGCCUGGAGAGCGAACCCGCGGGAGCGGAGACCUUCCUUUGUGCCUUCCCUUGGCCGUGAACUUUCCCGCUCGAGUUAAUUGCCCUGCAGCGAGGCCAUCUGACACCUCAGCCAAGGAAUACAGCAGAGAAGGAAUCCUCCACAGGGGGACCACAUCACCUGGGUCUGAGAGGACUGCUUCCUCAGGAAACCUUUCCUGGGAAUCUGGUGAGAGUUGGAGGCAAGUUUCCUGCACUUAGAACUUGUUCGGAAAUUGACAUCUAAAGAGGAGAGAAGCACUUUGUCACCCAGACUGGGCCCCUACGGCAUCAGAAAACCUUUCCACUCUUGGUGAACCCCUGAGACUGCCCCCCCACCCAAGAGGCCCCUUCACAUUGUUCGAUGUCAGUGUCCUGCUUGCUUUCCUUGGAAAGGUCAUGGGGACUCAGACACCCGCCAACCCCACGGGCUCCGGCUUCUCCAGCGCUCUCCCUUUCGCCCAGCAGGGAGGCUUGUGGAGCGCUUCUGGGUCUGCAUUGCCAGACCAGACUGCAGCCCACGACCUUCCCGGGGCCAACCAAGGGCGAGGUAUGUUGCCCAACAAGACCACAGCCUCACCGGGCCGCCCAGGAACAACCACCGACAAAGGCUCUGCGGGCCCUGGCGCAGCCACCCACCCAUGCCCGCGGGGCCUGCAGGAGUGCUGGGGCCGAGGCUGCAAAGCUGGGUAGCCAGCCCCACACCAUUGACAGCCCAGGCACGUUUGCGGAACCCAGGGGAACAAUCAACGGACUCUAUGUCCCGGGAGCUGGGGAUACGCCUGUAAGGUGUGUGAUCCUUUAAAGAUCCUUGGUACUACUUUUGCAAGAAUCCUUUGUUACAGUUUCGUCAGCCUGCGCGCCUUCAGCAGCUCCCCCUCCCGGCCCCUCCACUCCCCCCUCUCAUUUCCUCCUCCCGGUUCCCCCUUCAGAGAAGGCCUGGCUCAGGGGAUCUGCCCGGAUCAACUGUCCUGCUCCAGAUCCUCUCCUACAAAAUGCUCGUCCCUGGGUUACAUCUCCCCUUCGUGCUUGGGGCAAAUGAACACGGUUUGCAAUGCUUUUGCCUUUGGGGUGAGGCUGCCUGGAAGAACAGGCUUUCUGGAUGUGACCUUGGGCUGCUGCAGGGGCAGAGUCCUGCUGCUGGUGAAUGAGUAGCUCUCCUGCCACUGGCAGCGGUGACUGGGUGGGCACAGCAGGGUGCGUGGGUAGGGGGUAACCUGCCGUCCCACAGCAAGGGUUUGAGGAUUCUGACAGAAAGAGCAGUGUGAGGAUAACACAGCUCUGAACCAACUUGGCUCCUACUGGCAACAGGCAACCAGGUCCCAGUAUUCUUUUGGGUACGAGUGCCCUCCCCCUAACCCCCAAAUUAGGUAUGACUCCUCUUUAGCCAAAGUACAGCUCUAGAGAGGGUGUCUGAAGGAUGCUGUGGCGCACAGGAAGUGAAAGUAAUGACUGUUCACAUGCACAUAGCUUAUAUGCAUCGUCACAUAUGGCUACACAUUUCCUCAUAGGUUUUUAAAAAUUUAAUUUGUCUUCAUUCCUCCUUUCUAGUCUUUUCUUCCUGCACAUAGUGAUUUGGAGAAAAAUCAAGUGUGAGCACCUCUCCCUGCAGAACGUUCUGUAUGUUAUGUAACACACUCACACAGGGAUUCCUCAAGUUACCAUUUUGCUCCAGAUCAGCCAGCACAUGGCUUUCUGGCCUGGGUGGGGUGGAGGUGGGGGUGUCAGGGUGAUGCAAAUGGAGGUAGAGGCUUCGCUCCCUGGGGGCUUUGACUCCCCUUCUCGAAGUCCCAGAUCAAGGCUCA